ensembl:lncRNA
GAGGCUUGAUCAGGAUUUUGUCUUGCCUCCAUUCUUUCGCGUCUCCUGCCCCUUCUUCUCUUUUCAACCCCUACAGGUUCCUCCUCGGACUCACAAGGAUUUGUCCUGCUGGUCGGGACUCCCGGGGACGCCCGGGGCCGAGCACAAUUGGCGCCCAACGUGGGGCCCGAGGAACGGAUCCUAACGGAGGUAGCACGCUUACGAACGCCUGGCCAGGCACCCACUGAGCCGCCGCGAGAGUGAACUCGAAAGUGCGGCUCGAUUAGGUCCCCGGAGGACUAGCCGCCCUUCGGCAGUUGUGACCGGUAGAGAGUAAGGUAAGUGGAGCUUAAAAAUGGGACAGGAAUUGAGUUCCCACGAACUCUUUCUUCAGGGGAUCGAGGAUUCCCUCAAGAUGCGAAAGAUUAAGGCUAGAAAAAAAGAUUUGCGUGAUUUUUUUUUAUAUUUUUGUCUGAUGUUUGCCCAUGGUUCCCACAAGAAGGGACGAUAGAUAAAAAAUGUUGGAAUCGUGUAGGAGAUUGUUUAAAUGAUUAUUAUAAGACUUUUGGGCCUUCUAAAGUACCUGUGACUGCAUUUUCAUAUUGGAAUUUAAUUAGAGAGAUUCUUAUGGGUCAUUUUUUUGACCCCGAUAUCCAAAAGGUUGUUGAGACCGGAGAAACAAUUCUUAAAGCAGCCCCUAUGAUUCCAAUGAGGCUCAGGCUGCUUUUCCCCCUGGUCUGUUGGCUCAAAUACAAAAUGCUGGCCUUAAGGCCUGGCGCCGCCUUCCGCCUAAGGGUUCGGCCACAACUUCCUUGGCGAUUCGCCAGGGACCAGAAGAGCCUUAUUGUGAGUUUAUUAGCCGCCUCACGGACGCCACCGAACGUCUGGUGGGCGACAGUGAAACUGAUAACGCCUUUGUUAAACAUUUAGCUUAUGAAAAUGCUAAUCCGGCCUGCCAGGCUGCCCUUCGGGCUCAUCGUGGUGGUAGCCUUGCUGAUUAUAUUAAAUUGUGUUCCGGAAUUGGUCCCUCCCAUUCUGUUGGUCUUGCAAUAGGAGCCGCCCUAAAAGAUUUUAUUUAAAGACACAUCCGCCCUAGACAAACAACAAAAAACUUGCUAUAAUUGCAAACAACCUGGACACUUUGCCCGGGAUUGUCCACUAUAUAGACAAGGACAGUCAUCAAAGGCUAACCCACAACAACCCCAACAUCAAUCCCGAGCUCCUCCCACCACCGUUUGUCCUCGCUGUAAGAGGCAAACAUUGGUCUUCGGAAUGUUAUUCAAAAACGGACAUAAAUGGCCAAAAAACAGGGAAACUUUUCACGGGGCCAGCCCCUGGCCCCUUCCUUGGAACCGAACCAAGGGGCGAUUCGGUUUGUUCCUCAAAAAUCUGGACAAGUUCCCCUCACCCAGACGUUGGCUGCCCGAGCGUCUUAUUAAACCUAUAAAUUCUAUGAAAUAAUGAAAAUUAUCCAGGGCCCUUUUCCCUGAGAUUGUAUUUCUUUUCCUUUUCAGAAAAAGAUGGAGAUCCUCUUGGCAUUGAAAAGACGACAAAGACAACAAGGACUAUCCGUUGUGACCCUGAUCCUGUCAUCUUGGCUGGUUGUCAGCCAGGCUGAACCCCCUCCACACUUGCCUCAGAAUUUAACCUGAAGCAGAACCAAAAGAUGAUUCUGGCUGCCCCUCCACUGGAGCGGCAUGAGACAGAGACAUGCCUACCCCCCUCUUUGAUGGGAGGGUAUGGGUACCGAGUUGAGUGUGACAGCAAAGCAUGCACAAGGGAAAACCUUUAUACAUAAGGUAAUCUCUGUUAUUCCCUGUGAGUAUACCUGAAUUAUGAAAGAGGUUGGUAUCUAAACAUUGUUUUUGGCUUCAGUAUCUAAGAUUAUUCUUGGUUCUGCCUCUCCUCCCCAAAAGAUACCAAGAGCCAGCAAUGGUGGACACACAUACAUUGUCCACGGGAGGAUUCAGGUCACUACUCCCUCACUCGGUUAAUGCCCACCUCCUUAAAAGAAAUAAAAAGGGAGGAGAUGUUGGGAGCCAAGAAGUUUUCGCCAUUAGAAGAUGGCCGACAUCCUGCUUCUCUUCCUGCUUAAUGAGAUAAAAGCCCGCGCUUCCAACGAAAGCCCGCGCACGCAGCACCAAUGAUAAUUUGCCAAGUACUUCCCUUAUUCUGGAUCCCGCCCCCCUUUCUCUGUACUGUAUAAAUACAGCUACUGCAGCAAUAAAGGUUUGAGGCUUGAUCAGG